GCGGAAAUGGCGGAAUUGGUAGACGCCCCAGAUUUAGGUUCUGGCGCCGCAAGGUGUGAGAGUUCAAGUCUCUCCUUCCGCACCA
rnacentral:tRNA from 1 species